rnacentral:lncRNA from 1 species
UUUGACCAAGUGCUCGAUCGCGUCCACACAGUCAUCCAUAAAAUGCUCCUAGCCUACUCUAGUCCUAAACUAUCUUUGCACGUUGGGGUUCAGUGUAGUAGGUCUUUAUCUAUGAAGCUCCUCUACAGAAUAAAAUUUCUCACCGGCUACCACACCCGAAACUUUUGGUACGCCACCUCACUCACAAAUCUGUCCUCCCAAGCCUCAG